rnacentral:rRNA from 1 species
UACGUAGGGUGCAAGCGUUAAUCGGAAUUACUGGGCGUAAAGCGUGCGCAGGCGGUUGUGCAAGACAGAUGUGAAAUCCCCGGGCUCAACCUGGGAAUUGCAUUUGUGACUGCACGGCUAGAGUGUGUCAGAGGGGGGUAGAAUUCCACGUGUAGCAGUGAAAUGCGUAGAUAUGUGGAGGAAUACCGAUGGCGAAGGCAGCCCCCUGGGAUAACACUGACGCUCAUGCACGAAGCGUGGGAGCAAACAGG